UACGUAGGCAGCGAGCGUUGUUCGGAGUUACUGGGCGUAAAGGGUGUGUAGGCGGUUGUUUAAGUUUGGUGUGAAAUCUCCCGGCUCAACUGGGAGGGUGCGCCGAAUACUGAAUGACUUGGAGUGCGGGAGAGGAAAGUGGAAUUCCUGGUGUAGCGGUGAAAUGCGUAGAUAUCAGGAGGAACACCUGUGGCGAAAGCGGCGCACUGGACCACAACUGACGCUCAUGCACGAAAGCGUGGGGAGCAAACAGG
rnacentral:rRNA from 1 species